rnacentral:rRNA from 1 species
CCUACGGGAGGCAGCAGUGAGGACUAUUGGUCAAUGGACGAGAGUCUGAACCAGCCAAGUAGCGUGAAGGAUGACUGCCCUAUGGGUUGUAAACUUCUUUUAUAAAGGAAUAAAACGUUGCACGUGUGCCAUUUUGUAUGUACCUUAUGAAUAAGGAUCGGCUAACUCCGUGCCAGCAGCCGCGGUAAUACGGCGGAUCCGCGCGUUAUCCGGUUUUAUUGGGUUUAAAGGGAGCGUAGAUGGGUUGUUAAGUCAGUUGUGAAAGUUUGCGGCUCAACCGUAAAAUUGCAAUUGAUACUGGCAGUCUUGAGUACAGUUGAGGUAGGCGGAAUUCGUGGUGUAGCGGUGAAAUGCUUAGAUAUCACGAAGAACCCCGAUUGCGAAGGCAGCUUACUAAACUGCGACUGACAUUGAUGCUCGAAAGUGUGGGUAUCAAACAGGAUUAGAUACCCGGGUAGUC